UAAGACACGGUAUGCCUCAGUAACGGCGAGUGAAGCGGCAAAAGCUCAAAUUUGAAAUCUAGCACCUUCGGUGUUCGAGUUGUAAUUUGAAGAUGGUAACCUUGGGUUUGGCUCUUGUCUAUGUUCCUUGGAACAGGACGUCAUAGAGGGUGAGAAUCCCGUCUGAUGAGAUGCCCAUUCCUAUGUAAGGUGCUAUCGAAGAGUCGAGUUGUUUGGGAAUGCAGCUCUAAGUGGGUGGUAAAUUCCAUCUAAAGCUAAAUAUUGGCGAGAGACCGAUAGCGAACAAGUACAGUGAUGGAAAGAUGAAAAGAACUUUGAAAAGAGAGUGAAAAAGUACGUGAAAUUGUUGAAAGGGAAGGGCAUUAGAUCAGACUUGGUGUUUUACGAUUAUCUUCUCUUCUUGAGUUGUGCACUCGUAUUUCACUGGGCCAGCAUCGAUUCGGAUGGCAAGAUAAUGGCAGUUGAAUGUGGCUUCACUUCGGUGGAGUGUUAUAGCUUCUGCUGAUAUUGCCUGUCUGGAUCGAGGGCUGCGUCUUUUGACUAGGAUGCUGGCGUAAUGAUCUAAUGCCGCCCGUCUUGAAACACGGACCAAGGAGUCUAACGUCUAUGCGAGUGUUUGGGUGUAAAA
rnacentral:rRNA from 1 species